rnacentral:rRNA from 1 species
GUAAAGCACUUUAAGCGAGGAGGAGGCUACCGAGAUUAAUACUCUAAGAUAGUGGACGUUACUCGCAGAAUAAGCACCAGCUAACUCUGUGCCAGCAGCCGCGGUAAUACAGAGGGUGCAAGCGUUAAUCGGAUUUACUGGGCGUAAAGCGCGCGUAGGUGGCCAAUUAAGUCAAAUGUGAAAUCCCCGAGCUUAACUUGGGAAUUGCAUUCGAUACUGGUUGGCUAGAGUAUGGGAGAGGAUGGUAGAAUUCCAGGCGUAGCGGUGAAAUGCGUAGAGAUCUGGAGGNAAUACCGAUGGCGAAGGCAGCCAUCUGGCCUAAUACUGACACUGAGGUGCGAAAGCAUGGGGAGCAAACAGGAUUAGAUACCCUGGUAGUCCAUGCCGUAAACGAUGUCUACUAGCCGUUGGGGCCUUUGAGGCUUUAGUGGCGCAGCUAACGCGAUAAGUAGACCGCCUGGGNGANGUANCGGUCGCAAGACUAAAACUCAAAUGAAUUGACGGGGGCCCGCACAAGCGGUGGAGCAUGUGGUUUAAUUCGAUGCAACGCGAAGAACCUUACCUGGUCUUGACAUAGUAAGAACUUUCCAGAGAUGGAUUGGUGCCUUCGGGAACUUACGUACAGGUGCUGCAUGGCUGUCGUCAGCUCGUGUCGUGAGAUGUUGGGUUAAGUCCCGCAACGAGCGCAACCCUUUUCCUUAUUUGCCAGCGGGUUAAGCCGGGAACUUUAAGGAUACUGCCAGUGACAAACUGGAGGAAGGC